rnacentral:rRNA from 1 species
UACGUAGGUCCCGAGCGUUGUCCGGAUUUAUUGGGCGUAAAGCGAGCGCAGGCGGUUUAAUAAGUCUGAAGUUAAAGGCAGUGGCUUAACCAUUGUUCGCUUUGGAAACUGUUAGACUUGAGUGCAGAAGGGGAGAGUGGAAUUCCAUGUGUAGCGGUGAAAUGCGUAGAUAUAUGGAGGAACACCGGUGGCGAAAGCGGCUCUCCGGUCUGUAACUGACGCUGAGGCUCGAAAGCGUGGGGAGCAAACAGGAUUAGAUACCCUGGUAGUCCCU